CACCAGAUAGCUCAGUUGAUAGAGCAAUUGACUGGAGAUUAAGAGGGCCCAGGUUUGAAUUUCGGUCUCGUCC
rnacentral:tRNA from 1 species